rnacentral:rRNA from 1 species
UACGUAGGGGGCAAGCGUUAUCCGGAUUUACUGGGUGUAAAGGGAGCGUAGACGGCAUGGCAAGCCAGAUGUGGAAUACCGGGGCUCAACCCCGGGACUGCAUUUGGAACUGUUAAGCUGGAGUGUCGGAGAGGCAGGCGGAAUUCCUAGUGUAGCGGUGAAAUGCGUAGAUAUUAGGAGGAACACCAGUGGCGAAGGCGGCCUGCUGGACGAUAACUGACGUUGAGGCUCGAAAGCGUGGGGAGCAAACAGG